rnacentral:piRNA from 1 species
UCAAUCCGAAUGUUUUUGGAA